UUAAGCGACUAAGCGUACACGGUGGAUGCCCUGGCAGUCAGAGGCGAUGAAGGACGUGCUAAUCUGCGAAAAGCGUCGGUAAGGUGAUAUGAACCGUUAUAGCCGGCGAUGUCCGAAUGGGGAAACCCAGUGCAAUUCGUUGCACUAUCGUUUGAUGAAUACAUAGUCAAACGAGGCGAACCGGGGGAACUGAAACAUCUAAGUACCCCGAGGAAAAGAAAUCAACCGAGAUUCCCCCAGUAGCGGCGAGCGAACGGGGAGCAGCCCGGAGUCUGAAUCAGCUUGUGUGUUAGUGGAAGCGUCUGGAAAGUCGCAGGGUACAGGGUGAUACUCCCGUACACUAAAAUGCACAGGUUGUGAACUCGAAGAGUAGGGCGGGACACGUGGUAUCCUGUCUGAAUAUGGGGGGACCAUCCUCCAAGGCUAAAUACUCCUGACUGACCGAUAGUGAACCAGUACCGUGAGGGAAAGGCGAAAAGAACCCCGGCGAGGGGAGUGAAAAAGAACCUGAAACCGUGUACGUACAAGCAGUAGGAGCCCACUUGUUGGGUGACUGCGUACCUUUUGUAUAAUGGGUCAGCGACUUAUAUUCUGUAGCAAGGUUAACCGUAUAGGGGAGCCGCAGGGAAACCGAGUCUUAACUGGGCGUUAAGUUGCAGGGUAUAGACCCGAAACCCGGUGAUCUAGCCAUGGGCAGGUUGAAGGUUGGGUAACACUAACUGGAGGACCGAACCGACUAAUGUUGAAAAAUUAGCGGAUGACUUGUGGCUGGGGGUGAAAGGCCAAUCAAACCGGGAGAUAGCUGGUUCUCCCCGAAAGCUAUUUAGGUAGCGCCUCGUGAACUCAUCUUCGGGGGUAGAGCACUGUUUCGGCUAGGGGGUCAUCCCGACUUACCAACCCGAUGCAAACUACGAAUACCGAAGAAUGUUAUCACGGGAGACACACGGCGGGUGCUAACGUCCGUCGUGAAGAGGGAAACAACCCAGACCGCCAGCUAAGGUCCCAAAGUCAUGGUUAAGUGGGAAACGAUGUGGGAAGGCCCAGACAGCCAGGAUGUUGGCUUAGAAGCAGCCAUCAUUUAAAGAAAGCGUAAUAGCUCACUGGUCGAGUCGGCCUGCGCGGAAGAUGUAACGGGGCUAAACCAUGCACCGAAGCUGCGGCAGCGACGCUUAUGCGUUGUUGGGUAGGGGAGCGUUCUGUAAGCCGUUGAAGGUGGCCUGUGAGGGUUGCUGGAGGUAUCAGAAGUGCGAAUGCUGACAUAAGUAACGAUAAUGCGGGUGAAAAACCCGCACGCCGGAAGACCAAGGGUUCCUGUCCAACGUUAAUCGGGGCAGGGUGAGUCGACCCCUAAGGCGAGGCCGAAAGGCGUAGUCGAUGGGAAACAGGUUAAUAUUCCUGUACUCGGUGUUACUGCGAAGGGGGGACGGAGAAGGCUAUGUUGGCCGGGCGACGGUUGUCCCGGUUUAAGCAUGUAGGCGGAUGUUCCAGGUAAAUCCGGAACGUUACUAACGCUGAGGUGUGAUGACGAGGCACUACGGUGCUGAAGUGACAAAUGCCCUGCUUCCAGGAAAAGCCUCUAAGCAUCAGGUAACAUCAAAUCGUACCCCAAACCGACACAGGUGGUCAGGUAGAGAAUACCAAGGCGCUUGAGAGAACUCGGGUGAAGGAACUAGGCAAAAUGGUGCCGUAACUUCGGGAGAAGGCACGCUGAUGGUAAGUGAAGUGACUUGCUCAUGGAGCUGAAAUCAGUCGAAGAUACCAGCUGGCUGCAACUGUUUAUUAAAAACACAGCACUGUGCAAACACGAAAGUGGACGUAUACGGUGUGACGCCUGCCCGGUGCCGGAAGGUUAAUUGAUGGGGUUAUCCGUAAGGAGAAGCUCUUGAUCGAAGCCCCGGUAAACGGCGGCCGUAACUAUAACGGUCCUAAGGUAGCGAAAUUCCUUGUCGGGUAAGUUCCGACCUGCACGAAUGGCGUAAUGAUGGCCAGGCUGUCUCCACCCGAGACUCAGUGAAAUUGAACUCGCUGUGAAGAUGCAGUGUACCCGCGGCAAGACGGAAAGACCCCGUGAACCUUUACUAUAGCUUGACACUGAACACUGGUCCUUGAUGUGUAGGAUAGGUGGGAGGCUUUGAAGUGUGGACGCCAGUCUGCAUGGAGCCAUCCUUGAAAUACCACCCUUUAAUGGCUGGUGUUCUAACGUGGGCCCGUAAUCCGGGUUGCGGACAGUGUCUGGUGGGUAGUUUGACUGGGGCGGUCUCCUCCUAAAGAGUAACGGAGGAGCACGAAGGUCAGCUAAUCCUGGUCGGACAUCAGGAGGUUAGUGCAAUGGCAUAAGCUGGCUUGACUGCGAGCGUGACGGCGCGAGCAGGUGCGAAAGCAGGUCAUAGUGAUCCGGUGGUUCUGAAUGGAAGGGCCAUCGCUCAACGGAUAAAAGGUACUCCGGGGAUAACAGGCUGAUACCGCCCAAGAGUUCAUAUCGACGGCGGUGUUUGGCACCUCGAUGUCGGCUCAUCACAUCCUGGGGCUGAAGUAGGUCCCAAGGGUAUGGCUGUUCGCCAUUUAAAGUGGUACGCGAGCUGGGUUUAGAACGUCGUGAGACAGUUCGGUCCCUAUCUGCCGUGGGCGCUGGAGAAUUGAGGGGGGCUGCUCCUAGUACGAGAGGACCGGAGUGGACGCAUCACUGGUGUUCGGGUUGUCAUGCCAAUGGCAUUGCCCGGUAGCUAAAUGCGGAAGAGAUAAGUGCUGAAAGCAUCUAAGCACGAAACUUGCCCCGAGAUGAGUUCUCCCUGACUCCUUGAGAGUCCUGAAGGAACGUUGAAGACGACGACGUUGAUAGGCCGGGUGUGUAAGCGCAGCGAUGCGUUGAGCUAACCGGUACUAAUGAACCGUGAGGCUUAACCUU
rnacentral:rRNA from 1 species